UAGAGUUUGAUCCUGGCUCAGGAUGAACGCUAGCUACAGGCUUAACACAUGCAAGUCGUGGGGAAACGACCGGGAAGCUUGCUUUCCGGGGCGUCGACCGGCGCACGGGUGAGUAACGCGUAUCCAACCUGCCCCAAAGUAGGGAAUAAUCCGUAGAAAUGCGGUCUAAUGCCCUAUGUGGUGACAAGAAGACAUCCGAUUGUCACUAAAGGUCCGCCGCUUUGGGAUGGGGAUGCGUCUGAUUAGAUUGUUGGCGGGGCAACGGCCCACCAAGUCCACGAUCAGUAGGGGUUCUGAGAGGAAAGUCCCCCACAUUGGAACUGAGACACGGUCCAAACUCCUACGGGAGGCAGCAGUGAGGAAUAUUGGUCAAUGGCCGCGAGGCUGAACCAGCCAAGUAGCGUGCAGGACGACGGCCCUAUGGGUUGUAAACUGCUUUUGCGCGGGGAUAAAGUGCGCCACGUGUGGCGCAUUGCAGGUACCGCGCGAAUAAGGACCGGCUAAUUCCGUGCCAGCAGCCGCGGUAAUACGGAAGGGGCGGGCGUUGUCCGGAUUUAUUGGGUGUAAAGGGAGUGCAGGCCGACCGGCAAGCGUGAUGUGAAAUGUACGGGCUUAACCCCUAACCUGCUUUUCAAACUGUCCGGCUAGAGUAUCCGAAGACGUAGGCGGAAUUCGUCGUGUAGCGGUGAAAUGCGUAGAUAUUAGGAGGAACACCAGUGGCGAAGGCGGAUUGCUGGACGACAACUGACGGUGAGGCGCGAAAGCGUGGGGAGCAAACAGGAUUAGAUACCCUGGUAGUCCGCACGGUAAACGAUGGAUGCCCGCUGUCUGCGAUACACUGUAGGCGGCCAAGAGAAAUCGUUAAGCAUCCCACCUGGGGAGUACGCCGGCAACGGUGAAACUCAAAGGAAUUGACGGGGGCCCGCACAAGCGGAGGAACAUGUGGUUUAAUUCGAUGAUACGCGAGGAACCUUACCCGGGCUUGAACUGCAGGCGUACGAUACAGAGAUGUUGAGGCCCUUCGGGGCGCCUGUGGAGGUGCUGCAUGGUUGUCGUCAGCUCGUGCCGUGAGGUGUCGGCUUAAGUGCCAUAACGAGCGCAACCCCUUUCUCCAGUUGCCAUCAGGUAAUGCUGGGCACUCUGGAGACACUGCCACCGUAAGGUGUGAGGAAGGUGGGGAUGACGUCAAAUCAGCACGGCCCUUACGUCCGGGGCUACACACGUGUUACAAUGGGUGGUACAGAGAGUUGGUCGUUUGCAAAUGCGAUCUAAUCAUGAAAGCCAUCCUCAGUUCGGAUUGGGGUCUGCAACCCGACCCCAUGAAGCUGGAUUCGCUAGUAAUCGCGCAUCAGCCAUGGCGCGGUGAAUACAAUCCCGGGCCUUGCACUCACCGCCCGUCA
rnacentral:rRNA from 1 species